rnacentral:tRNA from 1 species
AGCUUUAUAGUCAAAAAUGAUAUAAAAUUGCAAAUUUUAAGUUAUAUAGUUAUAAGAAUAUAUUAAGGCUU